GGAAACAUACGUGGAAAAUUACUUUUACAAUACCUAUACCUAUAUAAACCUAUUGCAUCUCGAAGAUUGUCAAACAGUAUCUAAUCUGAGUAGUAUAUGGCAUGCUAGCUUCUCGUCUAUACAGGGAGACUACUGUGUGGUCUGAUUGGAGACUGAAGGCUGUACCUUCUUCCCUCCAACUCAGAAUAUAUAUCGAGGCUAAAUUCUGAUACAUUUCACGUUGAG
rnacentral:misc_RNA from 1 species